GGUCCCAUCUGCUUAGUGGUUAUCACGUUUGCCUCACACCUCCAGAGUCCGGGGUUCAAUUCCCGCCGGGGCCA